rnacentral:snRNA from 1 species
ACUCAUACCUUGCAGGGGAAAUACCAUGUCAUAAAAGUGGUUUUCCCAGGGUGAGGCUCAUCCAUUGCACUUGGGGUGUGCUGAUCCCUAUGAUUUCCCCAAAUGUGGGGAACUCAACUGCAUAAUUUGUGUUAAUGGAGGAUUACAUUUGUGAUUUCCCU